rnacentral:lncRNA from 1 species
UCAGGAGAAGACUGGGACCCUAUUCACAGUCAUUCUCACCCACGGACUUGGGAAAUCUCUAUAUGGUUAAUCAAUGGAAUCCAUUAUAAAUGAGACGAAAUGUACAGACUUUCUCCUUAAAACAACCCCAGCACUCUGCUGAAUACAUCAGACGCGUGAUUACGUUGAAUUUUUGCAACCAUUUUAUGCACCCAAUUUGCUGAUGAUGAAGUAAAGAUUUGGGAAUAAAGUUUAUCAAAGACUACGUGGAUCUCCAGUGAUUCAACCCAAUUCUUCCUGCCUAAAGGACAGGCUCUCGAUCGCCUUAGUAUCCCUUUUGAUCCAGUUAGGUGGAGUCUGUUACCGUCCUGGACUACCCCUAAUUCUAGAAGCAAUUCCCUGGUCAUAACAGACACCGGUUAGGAAUACGGUGACUCAGUGACAAUGCAUUCCUAUUACAGGAAAAGACAUUUUGAGGGCUAUGAUUUACUGAAGGUGAGUCAUUAGAGACAUAACUAUAAAGAGAGAAAAAAAAUCUGUAUUUUACAGGGACAUGGAAUAAAUGUCUACCAUGAUUCCAUCUGGGAUGACACGCCAGGUUACAGAGCCUAUCAGAAGAAAAACAUUGGAGCAGAACAGUAGGAUAACAGUGGAACUUUCUCCAGGAAAAGAAGGAUGAUCAGUGGACUUUCACCCAUAAGGUAACAUUUCAAAACAGAAAUUGCUUCGCUCGUCACUAGCAUUGUCUGAAACACAGUUACAGUAUAAUUAUUCACCUGAUAGGGCUCUGCAGUCAAAGCACAGACUCAUAGAACAUUCUGUGUCUAAAGAAAUCAUCUUUGGGAGGCUUGGCGACUUCUGGGUCUGAUCGAAUGAAAUCAUCUCCCGGGUAGCCGCAUUCCAUCCCCACAAGGAGAACUCACUUCCAAUGAACAAUUGAAUGGUUACCAAUUUUCCUAAAUGACAAAAGAAGACCUAAGGUUUAAAGGCCAGACUCUCCCAGAGGUGUAAGAACAGGAGAUGCACCUUCUCCAUGUGUGUGGGUACCAAGCUUACUAAUUGCAGGCCCAGUAAUUGCAUCUUCCAGAUGUGUCCAAUCCUGUAUGUAAACUCACUGCCUGGAGCCUUUUGAACAAACAAGCCCUUUUUUUUUCAGGGUGGUGGGGCAGGGGAAGGGAAGUCUAACAGACAGCUGGGUUUCCCCAGCACUCCUGGGCCCUGCUAGUCAUUUGGCUACAGUUUUGCUUCUCUUGAAAAGUCUUCUGCCUGGAUCACCCCAUUCCAGCUCACCCUUGAAUGAGUCAUGAGGCUGCUGUUCACACCCGGCAUCGAACUUUCUGCAAAGCCUGUGAUUCUGUGGUCCUGCUCAGAGACCACCAGACUUAAACUCUGCCCUGAGUAGCUAGGAGUUCCCAGACUUCCGUCUUCCCAAAGACAGCUUCAGUGGCUGA